CGUCGAAGAGAACCAAGACUUAGUGGCGGACGGGUGAGUAAUGUAUGAGCAACCUGCCUUUCAGAGGGGGACGAACAGUUGGAAACGACUGCUAAUACCGCGUAACGUAUGACGGGGGCAUCCCUGACAUACCAAAGGAGCAAUCCGCUGAAAGAUGGGCUCAUAUCUGAUUAGCUUGUUGGCGGGGUAACGGCCCACCAAGGCGACGAUCAGUAGCCGGACUGAGAGGUUGAACGGCCACAUUGGGACUGAGAUACGGCCCAGACUCCUACGGGAGGCAGCAGUGGGGAAUAUUGGGCAAUGGGCGAAAGCCCUGACCCAGCAACGCCGCGUGAAGGAAGAAGGUCUUCGGAUUGUAAACUUCUUUUAUGAGGGACGAAGGACGUGACGGUACCUCAUGAAUAAGCCACGGCUAACUACGUGCCAGCCGCCGC
rnacentral:rRNA from 1 species